CUGUAUGUGGAUGGUGUGUAAUAC
rnacentral:piRNA from 1 species